UGUUUCUUCUCCGGUCUCGAUUCGAUGCUCUCCAAAUGUUGCCGUCGCAUCACGCAUUGGUUUCUACGAUAAUGCCAUCAUCCCAUGAUAAAGAAAUUAAUAACAUAACCAUACUUCUCGAACCUUCGUAGUUACCUCAAUAAUAUAUCUCUAUAAAUUAAAAGGAUUAUUUGAAUGUUUCGAACUCUCUUUAUGCAAAUCAAGAAGACAUAAUCUUAAUAUCAAAAUCCAUUCUUCACAUACUCUCAAGUUCCAGAAUUGAUAUGAUAAUGAAAUUGAAUCAUAAAAUACAAAAGGUAAUUGAAUCAUAUAUGUUUAAGUACCACACAUGGCUGGAAUUGGAUAGUUAACUAAGUUUGGAUUUAGAAUUUGGGAAAGAUUAAUAGUACUGUAUAUUAUCAUUCUUAACAGGAAAGCCAUUAUUCGCGCACUUAAAAUAGGCAAUACAUAAAUAGCGUAUUAUGAUAAAAUGAUAAAAUCACAAAAAUUGUUUCGUUAUAUUAUCAAUCAAAGCCAAAAAUAAAUAAUUAAUAUGUCAAUCAUUAUUGAGUGCAAAACUGCAUAAGUAUAGGGACACAUAUGGUAUUUUGAAGACGUGUAAGGGUACAUAUGUAAAAGUAUCCUAUUUUAUACUCGCUUAAUGACCUUAGCUGGACUAACGUCUCGCUGUUUCAACGAAUUCCACCCAACACUAAAUUAUGACCGUCUGAUCCUCUACUCCUCCGCAUCGCGCGUCUCCGGACGCCAAUCUCAACCAGCUUUGCUUUCGAUGUACCCGCCUCACACCAUUAAUGGGGGCUCGACAUUGCCCCUAUUUGGAGCUCCUCCUCCCUCGCUCGCUUCCUCUACCUCUCCCUGUCGUCCAAUUCCUUCCGUCCUUCCUCCGAAUGAGGGGGGAAUUCCACCUCUUUACGCUGGCUUCCGGCCCGAAAUCUUCGCCGCACUGCCUCUGAUCCGGUCUCCGGUGCUCCUCCGCUCGAUGGGGGAUCUCGGGGCCGGGCGGGGCACGGUCCUCUCCAAGCUGACGACGCUCCGAUGGACCUCCAUGUUUCUCGGGUUCUGCAACGUGGUGCUGUUUCUUUCGGGCGCCGUUCUGUUGGUCUCCCUCCCUUCCGGCUGCUCCGGCGUGGACCGGCUUGCGCUUGUUGUGUUGGCGCUCGUCGCCGCCGUCCGGAUCGCCUACAUGGUCGCGGCUGGGAGGGCUCAGCGGGCCACGGCAGAGACCAUCGUCAGCAAUGUGCUUGAGACUUCGGUCGAUGCCGAUGCGUUGAUCCGCCACGAGAGACGGAUGAGAUACAAGAAAUGGCUUUGGUGGACAAGGUUUGGGAUGAUGGUCACUGCAUUGCAAUUUGUGGUAGCACUUUAUCUUAUUUCUGUCUUCGCUAAAGAUUUUUCCUCGGGUGCUGAUGGCAACACGUGUUUAAAUGGACUCAAUGAUGAACGGUGGAAGAAAAUCUUGACAAUUUCUUUUCUUGUCCUUGUUUGGCUUGUGGUCAUCAUUCAGUGUUCUACUGGUUCUGAUGUACUGCGGUGGAGGUCUUUUUAUGCAACCCAUGAUACUGCAUGGAAAGCUCAUUACCGUGAAGUAUUUGAUCAUGGUAUUCGAGAAGUCUUAUGCUGUCUGGGACGUGUGAAAUACUUGAGUGUAUUGGAAGAAGAUGAAGUUUAUUCUGUGGCAAGAUUAUUGGGUGAUCUGGUGGCAUACCGUGCAUCAGGAACAGGACAUUUUGAGUUGUUAGCAGGGCUUGCAUUAUUGCAGAAGCAUAAGCAGUCUCCUCUGGUACACACUGACUUUGUUGAGGCACCUGAAGUUCAUCUUCAAGAGGCUGCUGUGUUCCAUCAAUUUGCUGAAGCUGCCUAUACAGGUCCACUUCUUGAUUUCGGAAGAAAUCCUAUUCUUUUUCCAUGUGCCUGGCUUUAUAGACAAGGGGUUUUAAGCCCAUGGACCCGUAACAGGCGCCCUAUGCUUGAAGGUGAUAACUGGUGGCGGGGUCAUGCAGCAGCUUUUCUAAAGUAUGUUAACAUGCCUCCGGAAGCUCUUCGACGUGGGCGUGUUAGUCAGACAAAGCGUGAGGCAGCUUACUUUGUUCUUGUUAUACAUGAUCUUAAAUCUGUAGUCAUAGCAGUACGUGGCACUGAGACUCCUGAAGACCUUAUAACAGAUGGUUUAUGCAGAAACUGCACUCUUUCUAUGGAUGACUUGGAUGGAAUAAUCAAUAGUGAUCAACUUCCCCAAACUGUCAAGGAUAGUGUUCUCUCAUCUUUCCCACAUUAUGGUCAUUCAGGAAUUGUUGAGUAUGCUCAAGAACUUGCCAUGCAAAUAGAUGGGCAACCUGUAGAUAAAGAUGGGUUGCAACCCAACAAAUCUGGAUUCCUUUCUUCUUUGAUGGGGAUAGGAUGUGAAUGCUAUGGAUAUAAACUUCGGAUUGUAGGACAUUCAUUAGGAGGUGCUGUUGCAACAAUGCUAGGGCUGAGGUUUUAUGCUCGAUAUCCAAACUUACAUGUGUAUACAUAUGGAACCCUUCCUUGUGUUGACUCGGUUGUAGCUGAGGCAUGUUCAGACUUUGUUACUUGCAUUAUAUACAAUGAUGAAUUUUCUGCGCGGCUCUCUGUUAACUCCAUCCUUAGACUUCGUGCUGCUGCCAUUGGUGCUAUUUCAAAUGAUUCUAUUAGUGACUCAGCAAUGGUUGCCAAAAUUGUCCGAAAAGUUCUUCAUGCAAAGAAGUCCCAUCAGAAAACGAAACACCAUGAUGCUUCUGCCCCAUCUCUUGAGCAGGGCAAUGAGACAAUUAAAGAUGGUAACCAUGUUUGUAAAAGGAACCAUUUGAAGUAUACUAUCAAAGGUGGGGUUUUUCUUUGUGGCCAUGCAGUUUCUUGUAUGGUGAGUAUGCCUAAUCAUAAUCCUGGCUCACAUAUUAUAAAUGAGACCAAGACACCAGCUGGAGGAACAUCAGAAAUUAAUGGUGCAUCUGUUGAAGUACUACCACAUACAUUUGCUGCAAAAAGCAGGCAACCUGACCGACAGAUAUAUCAGGAUGAAACUUAUUUCUUUGAUGAACCAAGUAGUGGUUUUCCACAUGAAGGUUUUGAUGCUUUUGACCAAUCUGACCUGAGUGAAGCAACAGUGUUUGAGAAUUCUGAUAACCUGUUUCAGUUUGAUGAUCGACUCUCUCCAAUUGUGGAUGACCCCUUAUCCCAUGUCCAAGAUUCAGAGGGAAGAUCUGUUGAGAUGUACAUACCAGGCCUCCUCAUUCAUAUAGUACGAGUUCAAAAGAGCAAUUCACCUAUGUGGAAAAGCUGGAUAAUUAACGACAGUGAGUAUGACUAUAAGGCUUUUGUUGCAAACAAGGAGAGUUUCAAGGACAUUGUUGUGUCAUCUUAUAUGUUCCUCGAUCAUCUACCAUGGAGGUGUCACUAUGCAAUUCAAAAAGCUUUAGAAACCCGGAAACAUAAAGGCCAACUCACUGAUGAUUUAUUUAACGAGGAGAGCAUGGUAUAAGUGUCAUAUGUCUAUGAGAUUAUUUUCCUGCAAAGAGUUCUUUCUAUUAUGCUGCUCUACAAGAUCAUAUGAGCAGUGAUUUUUGUCGGGCCGUCUCCAAAAAUACUUGCAAGAAUCAGACUGAAGAAACAAUGGAAAGGUUGUUUUCUGUCUCCGACUACAGAGAAUAUCUAAUGGCUUUGGCUGGAGAUAAUUUCUUUCCUGCUUUUCAAGACAGAGUUUACCGAUCUAAAGCUACCAGAAUUUAGAUCAGGGGCCUCAGAAUCUUAUCGUAUGCCAAGGUAAUGCACCAAAGGGUCCUGGCUGUACAUAGCAAACUUUACAAUGGACCGCCUUUUUUUUCCGAGAAAAAAGUUGUUCAAAUGUUUCACUGAGCAACCGAGAACCUUGGUAGCAGGCAGGCUUCAAAAGGGCAGCUUGAAUCAGUUGUUGCAGUUGUUCAUAUUGUUCUUGAAGUUAUUAUGAUAGGAAGCCAUUGUUGUGUUAUCUAAAUUUGACAUGUACUUCAAACGCAAAGCAUUGAUGUCAUUUAAUAUCAUUGUCAUUUAAUAUCUUUAUUAGAAAGAUAUCUUCAUUUCGUCCGAUCAGAAUAUUGGCUGAUGGCAUUAAAAACAACGAAUUCUUUUCACUUUAAUCAAA